GCAUAUCAAUAAGCGCAGGAAAAGAAACUAACUAGGAUGCCUUCAGUAACGGCGAGCGAAGCAGGCAUAGCUCAAAUUUGUAAUCUGGCGCCUUUGGCGUCCGAGUUGUAUUUUCUAGAAGCGAGUUCGGUGACAGCUCCUACCCAAGUCCGUUGGAACGCGGCGUCAUGGAGGGUGAGAAUCCCGUGAAUGGUAGGAUGUCUGCUGCUAUGUGAACCGCCUUCGAAGAGUCGAGUUGUUUGGGAAUGCAGCUCUAAAUGGGAGGUAAAUUUCUUCUAAAGCUAAAUAUUGGCCAGAGACCGAUAGCGAACAAGUAGAGUGAUCGAAAGAUGAAAAGAACUUUGAAAAGAGAGUUAAACAGUACGUGAAAUUGUUGAAAGGGAAGCGCUUGAGAUCAGACUUCCUGUCUGGACUGUCCUUGCUUUUGCUUGGGUCAACAGUCCAGGCGUGGAGGCCAGCAUCAGUUUUGACGGCCGGAUAAAGGCCUUGGGAAGGUAGCUCCUCUCGGGGAGUGUUAUAGCCCAGGGUGUAAUACGGCCAGUUGGGACUGAGGACCGCGGCUUUGCCUAGGAUGCUGGCGUAAUGGUCUUAAGCGACCCGUCUUGAAACACGGACCAAGGAGUCUAACAUCUGUGCGAGUGUUUGGGUGGAAAACCCGUGCGCGAAAUGAAAGUGAAUGGAGGUGGGAUCCGCAAGGUGCACCAUCGACCGAUCCGGAUUUUUUUGAAGGAUUUGAGUAAGAGCAUAGCUGUUGGGACCCGAAAGAUGGUGAACUAUGCCUGAAUAGGGCGAAGCCAGAGGAAACUCUGGUGGAGGCUCGUAGCGGUUCUGACGUGCAAAUCGAUCGUCGAAUUUGGGUAUAGGGGCGAAAGAC
rnacentral:rRNA from 1 species